AAUAAGUGCAGUUUUCACUGUUCAUAUUCAACGUUUGACUGUUCAUCUUAUUUGAAAUUUUUUGUGAUUAGUAUUUUUUAUUGUUAUUAGAUGAUAAAACAUAAAUAGUACUUUAUGUGUGAUUUUUUUUAAUUUUUAAUAAUUUUUUUAAAUAAGAUGAACGGUUAAACGUUGGAUAUGAAUAUUCAUGACUACCUUAUU
rfam:Oryza punctata chromosome 3, whole genome shotgun sequence.